rnacentral:rRNA from 1 species
UACGUAGGGUGCAAGCGUUGUCCGGAAUUAUUGGGCGUAAAGAGCUCGUAGGCGGUCUGUCGCGUCGGAUGUGAAAAUCCAGGGCUUAACCCUGGACCUGCAUUCGAUACGGGCAGACUAGAGUUCGGUAGGGGAGACUGGAAUUCCUGGUGUAGCGGUGAAAUGCGCAGAUAUCAGGAGGAACACCGGUGGCGAAGGCGGGUCUCUGGGCCGAUACUGACGCUGAGACGCGAAAGCGUGGGGAGCGAACAGG